GAGUUUGAUCCUGGCUCAGGAUGAACGCUGGCGGCGUGCUUAACACAUGCAAGUCGAACGAAGCGGUCUUGAUGAAGCCUUCGGGCGGAAUCAGGAUUGACUGAGUGGCGGACGGGUGAGUAACGCGUGGGUAAUCUGCCUCACACAGGGGGAUAACAGUUAGAGAUGACUGCUAAUACCGCAUAAGCGCACGAGAGGGCAUCCUCAAGUGUGAAAAGCCGAGACGGUGUGAGAUGAGCCCGCGUCUGAUUAGGUAGUUGGUGAGGUAACGGCCCACCAAGCCGACGAUCAGUAGCCGACCUGAGAGGGUGAUCGGCCACAUU
rnacentral:rRNA from 1 species